UACGGGGGGGGCAAGCGUUGUUCGGAAUUACUGGGCGUAAAGGGCUCGUAGGUGGCCAACUAAGUCAGACGUGAAAUCCCUCGGCUUAACCGGGGAACUGCGUCUGAUACUGGACGGCUUGAGUUUGGGAGAGGGAUGCGGAAUUCCAGGUGUAGCGGUGAAAUGCGUAGAUAUCAGGAGGAACACCGGUGGCGAAGGCGGGUCUCUGGGCCGGUACUGACGCUGAGGAGCGAAAGCGUGGGUAGCAAACAGG
rnacentral:rRNA from 1 species